rnacentral:rRNA from 1 species
AGACCCGAAACCCGGUGAUCUAGCCAUGGGCAGGUUGAAGGUUGGGUAACACUAACUGGAGGACCGAACCGACUAAUGUUGAAAAAUUAGCGGAUGACCUGUGGCUGGGGGUGAAAGGCCAAUCAAACCGGGAGAUAGCUGGUUCUCCCCGAAAGCUAUUUAGGUAGCGCCUCGUGAAUUCAUCUCCGGGGGUAGAGCACUGUUUCGGCUAGGGGGCCAUCCCGGCUUACCAACCCGAUGCAAACUGCGAAUACCGGAGAAUGUUAUCACGGGAGACACACGGCGGGUGCUAACGUCCGUCGUGAAGAGGGAAACAACCCAGACCGCCAGCUAAGGUCCCAAAGUCAUGGUUAAGUGGGAAACGAUGUGGGAAGGCCCAGACAGCCAGGAUGUUGGCUUAGAAGCAGCCAUCAUUUAAAGAAAGCGUAAUAGCUCACUGGUCGAGUCGGCCUGCGCGGAAGAUGUAACGGGGCUAAACCAUGCACCGAAGCUGCGGCAGCGAACGUAUCACCCAAGACAACUUUACGGAGUUGACGAUUGACGGAGCGAAGCGACGUCAAAGCGUUCAUUAAAGUCGAGUUGGCUUAGGGAUACGUUCGUUGGGUAGGGGAGCGUUCUGUAAGCCUGUGAAGGUGUGUCGUGAGGCAUGCUGGAGGUAUCAGAAGUGCGAAUGCUGACAUAAGUAACGAUAAAGCGGGUGAAAAGCCCGCUCGCCGGAAGACCAAGGGUUCCUGUCCAACGUUAAUCGGGGCAGGGUGAGUCGACCCCUAAGGCGAGGCCGAAAGGCGUAGUCGAUGGGAAACGGGUUAAUAUUCCCGUACUU